UGGUCUCCUUGCGUUGAAGUCCCUGAGUAGGAGGUCUGUUCAUCUGUCCCCUCUUCUUAUUUCCUCCCCUGGCUCUAAGUCCAGCUUCCUUCAAGUGCUAUCCCUUUGGUCUCCCAUGGCCUGGACAACUGGCCAUCCCUGGGGCCACUGUUUUGCCCUCAGGUUCUGGAUGAAAGACAGCUGGAUUCAUGGUCCGUACUGCUGAGUGAGUCUAUGAUCUUGGGCUCAAAGAUUUGGAAAGAGACAGCUUAACAGAAAAGGAAUGUGUGAAGGAGAAAUUGAAUCUCUUGCACGAAUUUCUGCAAACAGAAAUAAAGAAUCAGUUAUGUGACUUGGAAACCAAAUUACGUAAAGAAGAAUUAUCCGAGGAGGGCUACCUGGCUAAAGUCAAAUCCCUUUUAAAUAAAGAUUUGUCCUUGGAGAACGGUGCUCAUGCUUACAACCGGGAAGUGAAUGGACGUCUAGAAAACGGGAACCAAGCAAGAAGUGAAGCCCGUAGAGUGGGAAUGGCAGAUGCCAACAGCCCCCCCAAACCCCUUUCCAAACCUCGCACGCCCAGGAGGAGCAAGUCCGAUGGAGAGGC
rnacentral:lncRNA from 1 species